rnacentral:rRNA from 1 species
AAUAUUGGACAAUGGGGGCAACCCUGAUACAGCCAUGCCGCGAGUGUGAAGAAGGUCUUCGGAUUGUAAACCACUUUAAGUUGGGAGGAAGGGCUUUAGGUUAAUACCCUGAAGUUUUGACGUUACCAACAGAAUAAGCACCGGCUAACUCUGUGCCAGCAGCCGCGGUAAUACAGAGGGUGCGAGCGUUAAUCGGAAUUACUGGGCGGAAAGCGCGCGUAGUGAGUUCAGUAAGAUGGGUGUGAAAUCCCCGGGCUUAACCUGGGAACUGCUUUCAUAACUGCUGAGCUAGAGUACGAUAGAGGGUAGUGGAAUUUCCUGUGUAGUGGUGAAAUGCGUAGAUAUAGGAAGGAACACCAGUGGCGAAGGCGACUACCUGGACUGAUACUGACACUGAGGUGCGAAAGCGUGGGGAGCAAA